rnacentral:ncRNA from 21 species
UGAAUAAAAGGUGAUGGAGUUCACCUGAAAUGCGUAAUGCUGAUGACUCCUACAGGAAU